AGAAAUGAAAUUAUAACUUGGGCUUAAUACGAGGUUAAAGAUUUGAUUUAAUUAUUAUUGUCAUCCAAAGGAAAAGCUAAAGAGUUUUUUUGUUUUUUUGUUUUUUUGUUUUUAUUCUGGAUCUUUGAAUCUUGAGAACUUUGAAGAAGAAGCUGAUGUAGCACAUCUUUUGCGUAGUACACAAGCUUCUAGACUUCUCUGUUUCCUUCUCGUUCUUUUCCAUUUUCUAUUUUCUUGUUAAUUUUCCUUUUGUCUCAAAUUUCUAUUUUCUUCUUUGUUUUGCCUUUUGUAUUUGGAUUUAGCUUCUCUAUUAAUAGUCCUCUAAUGAUUACAAAGAGGGACAUCCUUGAAUUGAUAAAGAGUUGUUUUCUUGUACCGAGCUUUGCAAAGAAGUGUAUUC
rnacentral:lncRNA from 1 species